AACAGUUAUAAUCUACUUGAUGUUUUUAAUAUAAGGAUAACUACGGAAAAUCUGUAGCUAAUACUUGUGAAAAUACCUUUUGAUAUAUACAUAUGUAUGUAUCAUUAAGGUAUGUAUUUGUUAGAUAUAAGAAUAAAAUAAAUAUAAUUGAAUUAUAACAAAGAAGAAACACAUAAAAUAUGUGUAUUAUCAAUCGAGUAUCUGACCUAUCAGCUUUUGAUGUUAGGGUAUUGACCUAACAUGGCUAUGACGGGUAACGGGGAAUUAGAGUUCGAUUCCGGAGAGGGAGCCUGAGAAAUAGCUACCACAUCUAAGGAAGGCAGCAGGCGCGUAAAUUACCCAAUUCUAAAAAAGAGAGGUAGUGACAAGAAAUAACAAUACAAUAUCGAAAAAUGAUUUUGUAAUUGGAAUGAUAGGAAUUUACAAGGUUCCUAGAGAAACAAUUGGAGGGCAAGUCUGGUGCCAGCAGCCGCGGUAAUUCCAGCUCCAAUAGCAUAUAUUAAAAUUGUUGCAGUUAAAACGUUCGUAGUUGAAUAUUAAAGAAUCCGAUGUUUCAUUUAAACUGGUUUGGGAAAACCAAAUAUAUUAUAUAUUUUGCUUUGUUCAAAAUAAGGUUUUCUAAUAAAUUAUGUUUUUAUCAGAUAUGACAGAAUCUUUUUUAAAAUCUCUUCAAUAUGCUUUUAUUGCUUUUGAGAGGUUUUGUUACUUUGAGUAAAAUUAAGUGUUCAUAACAGACGGGUAGUCAUGAUUGAGUUCAUUGUGUUUGAAUACUACAGCAUGGAAUAACAAAUAUGAAUAAGCUAAUUAUUUUUUUUUUUUCAUUAUUUUUUUUGAUAUUCUUAUUAGCUUAGUUACGAUUAAUAGGAGUAGCUUUGGGGGCAUUCGUAUUCAGAUGUCAGAGGUGAAAUUCUAAGAUUUUCUGGAGACGGACUACUGCGAAAGCAUUUGCCUAAUCUAUUUCCAUUAAUCAAGAACGAAAGUUAAGGGAGUGAAGACGAUCAGAUACCGUCGUAAUCUUAACCAUAAACUAUACCGACUAGGUGUUGGAUGAAUAUAAAAAAUAUAUAAAUAUGUAGCAUUUCUUAGGGAAUGUUGAUUUUAUAUUAGAAUUGCUUCCUUCAGUACCUUAUGAGAAAUCAAAGUCUUUGGGUUCUGGGGCGAGUAUUCGCGCAAGCGAGAAAGUUAAAAGAAUUGACGGAAGGGCACCACCAGGCGUGGAGCUUGCGGCUUAAUUUGACUCAACACGGGAAAACUCACUAGUUUAAGACAAGAGUAGGAUUGACAGAUUAAUAGCUCUUUCUUGAUUUCUUGGAUGGUGAUGCAUGGCCGUUUUUAGUUCGUGAAUAUGAUUUGUCUGGUUAAUUCCGAUAACGAACGAGAUCUUAACCUGCUAAUUAGCGGUAAGUACACUAUAUUUUUAUUUGAAAUUGAAUAUAGGUAAUUAUACAUGUUUAUUCAGUGUUCAAAUUAGGAUAUUUUUUUAUUAAAAUAUUCUUUUCCCUGUUCUACUAUAAUAAUUUGUUUUUUUUUACUCUAUUUCUCUCUUCUUUUAAGAAUGUACUUGUUUGAUUAAAUAAAGCUUCUUAGAGGAACAGUGUGUAUCUAACACAAGGAAGUUUAAGGCAACAACAGGUCUGUGAUGUCCUUAGAUAAACUAGGCUGCACGCGUGCUACAAUGAUAUAUAUAACAAGUUGUUAAAAAUGUACUUAUAAAUAAGUGUGUACAGUUUUUCCUGUACUGAAAAGUAUAGGUAAUCUUUAUCAGUAUAUAUCGUAAUUGGGAUAGAUUAUUGCAAUUAUUAAUCUUGAACGAGGAAUGCCUAGUAAGCAUGAUUCAUUAGAUUGUGCUGACUACGUCCCUGCCCUUUGUACACACCGCCCGUCGCUCCUACCGAUUGAAAGAUAUGAUAAAUUGUUUGGAUAUGAAUUAAAAUAAUGAAAUUUUAUAUUUCUGAUUUUUUCUAGAAGAACUGUAAAUCCUAUCUUUUAAAGGAAGGAGAAGUCGUAACAAGGUUUCCGUAGGUGAACCUGCGGAAG
rnacentral:rRNA from 1 species